UACGGAGGGAGCUAGCGUUGUUCGGAAUUACUGGGCGUAAAGCGCGCGUAGGCGGCUUUGUAAGUUAGAGGUGAAAGCCCGGAGCUCAACUCCGGAACUGCCUUUAAGACUGCAUCGCUUGAAUCCAGGAGAGGUGAGUGGAAUUCCGAGUGUAGAGGUGAAAUUCGUAGAUAUUCGGAAGAACACCAGUGGCGAAGGCGGCUCACUGGCCCGGUACUGACGCUGAGGCACGAAAGCGUGGGGAGCAAACAGG
rnacentral:rRNA from 1 species